UAUAUAUAUGUUAUAUAUGUAUACAGAACUAGGAGAUCAAGCCUCAAUUUUCCAUUUAACUUUCUGAAACCGAAUUUAUUUCACUAAUGUUGUUGAUUUAUCAGUGCAGGUCUCUUCUUAAGGAGCUGCUUCCAAAGUCACCAGUUCCCAGACCAUGUCAGGAUUCUGUGUGACCGUGCGUGGGUCUCACUGGGACAUGGCACAUCCUCUCCUGGGCUGCCUUGAGCGUGUUGCUCCAUCCAAUUCCACCUGAGAUAUCACAGGAUAUGAAAAGCUGCUUCAGCUGCAGCUGGGAGGAAAGAGGAGCCAAAAUAUUUCUUCAGGUAUGUUUGCAUUGGGUAUAGGGAAGAAAUCCUUCCCUGUGAGGGUGCUGAGGCCCUGGCACAGGUUGCCCAGACCAGCUGUGGCUGUUCCAGCCCUGGAAGUGUCCAAGGCCAGGCUGAUCUUGAUGAAUCCUGGGACAGCCUGUUGCAAGGUCCUCUGCUGCCUUUUUGCAAAAGGAUCUUGUGGAAUUUGAGUAGGAAAGCAGGUGCCACAAGGGAGAUCCUUACCCCAGGAGGACAGGGAUGAAUAUUCCACACUGAGCACAGACCAAGCACCAGCCUCUCUGCAGGGAUGAAAUCUAAUCCCCACUUUUUAACUGAAUUCAUUUCCAUUCUAUGUCUUGGAUCCUUCACACCAAGCAAAGAUGGGUUGUUGGGUAAGAAAAAGUGAGGUUGAACUUGGAUUAAUCAAGAAAUCGAGGUCAGUUCUCUGACAGGGGCAGCUUUCCAGGUGGAUGCUCCCUGGGGAGAACUCAGCCCCAAACCGCUCGAUUUUCAUUAUCUGUAACAUCUCCAGCACCGUCCCCCUGUCCUGGCGCCACCUCGCCUUCGGCAUCUCCUCGUGGGCGGUGAAAAGCAGCUCUAAAUCCUCAUUAUGGCACCAGGAGACCAGGCACAUCACUUCUGGGACAUCUGGAACGGGAUGUCAGGUCCUGGGGAUGAAACGCAGCCCUUCAGCCGAGGUUUAUCUAAUAAUGAUGAUUUCUAGGUUUGGAUCCAUGUGUCAGGAGCCUGCGGUGCUUACCCUUGGUUUACUCUCUGGUGUAACUCUGUCAAGCCAUGAUUAAUGUUAUCCAGGAGAAAAAUCAAUGUUUAUUUAUUCUACCUGUCACAGAGCGGGAUUUUAGGAGCUGUUGAUCUCUCCCUGGUGAGCGGCAAGACAGAGCCUGAAUUUAUCUUUUAUCUCUGAACGAACAAGCACAUCUAAAGCACAACGAGGUGACAAAAAGCCCAACUCUUAUUCCUAGUGCUUUUACCUAGAAAAGCUCAUCCUGGGACAUGGGGAGCAGGUAUUUACUCCUCAAGCACUCAGGCUGGACCGGGAGCACUCAAAAGACGAGUAAUAUUUUCGUUUUUCCAGCAGGUGCUGGGAAAACCGUGGACUUCCAUGCACGAAUGGUUGGAGGAGCACUAAGAGGAAGCCUUGCAAUUUCCUUAGGAUCUAUCCUGGUGCGGUAUUUCCCUCUUGAACUCCCCGCACCUCCCCUUUUCCAGCGGCUCCCCCCGGGGCUCAGCGCCAGGGGCACGUGGCGCCCCCUGCUGGCUGGGCGCGAUACUGCAGCCCUCAGCGGUCCGCGCAUGCGCGGUGAGCGGAGUGAGGCCUUGAACACCGCGCAUGCGCAGUCCGGCCACGCCACGCCCCCUUUCCCCUUCGUGUCUCAGCGCUGCCGCCCUGUGGGGGCGCGCGGCAGCGCAGGCCGCGAUCCCCGGGAAUUCCUGCGGCACUCGGAGGCGCUGCCCUGACCGUGGGGAAAAAGGAGGAAAGGGGAAGUUCGGGAUUAGCGGCAGGAUGUUUCUGGAAUGCAGUUCAGAACGGACCGCAAAGGCCAUCGAAACUCUUGCUUUCUGGUUCUGCAGCAAAGAACACGGUCCCAAGCUGACUCCUCGGCCUCAUGGACUUCCACAGUGCUGCCCGGGCUUGUCUGGAAUGGGAACGGCUCUUGGAGAUCGGGCACCUGGAGACCAGGUGGUGCUUUAGGAAAGGCCCUCCAGCCUGGGAAGGAGCUUUUGGCUCCGGACACAUUCCCAGUCCCCAGGAGCAGCAGGACCUGGGCUGUCCCCAGCAGGACAGGAAAACCCACUUAACUCAUCCCAUCCUUGCCCAAAGCUUUGGUGUUUGAGCAGCCAAACCCAGCAGGCUCUGGCCCUGCUGGCCUGCCCUGGAGGGCCCCUGGGCCUGCCCGUGGUGUGGGGGAAGAGGCUUUCUCCUGUGAACUUUGGCAAUCAGCUCAUUUCCCCCAGGAAGCAUCACUGACAGCAGCAUGAAUGACAAGACCUGUGCCCACUGCUCAGGAUUCACCCAGCCAAGAUCAAGAGCAAAGAUGCUGGAAUUGCCUCUGUGGAUGUGCACUGAGCUCUCACUGCAGGGGACUGCCAGGCCUUAAUCUCUUGUGGAUAUUCCCAUGCAGAGCUGCCAUUGGACACCAGCUGUGCCAGGAACCAGCAGAAGUCCCCAGGAAGCUCAGCACGAUGGGGUAAGGACAGGCUGCUGUUCCAUAGAAUUUGCUGUUUCUAACCCUCAUCCCAGC